GCAGCUUCAAAAGCUCUGUCCCCCAUGGUCUUGAGUCGUGUCCUGGGUGUGUGCAGACGGUGCUGUUGGCCUGACCUGGCCCUGGCUGAGCUGUGUGGUGUGAGGAGGUCAGUGAGAGGUGGCUGGAGCCUAUCCCUGCUGCAUUUGGGCGGAAGGCAAGGUACAAAAUGACACCUCAUUGGCUGCUUUUGAGACAGGAUCGAUUGCUUCAGUCUUAAUUAAUGGAAGGCAGGAUAAACCAUCGAAGAAAUCCAUUCAGCCUUGGAGAGCAUGAUCCUUCCUUGAAAGAAUCAAAAGCUUUAAGACAUCUAAAAAAAGAAUGAGAGCUCCUUCAUCAAUGAGAUGUCAAACAACGGCACCUAUUUUAAGAAAACAGGUUAUCAUCUUGAGUCACAAGAUCAGCACUUCUCAGGACCAGCAGCUUCCUAGGAAGGUGGAAAGACCAUGAGACCAAAAUGGUAAGUUUGCAAAAUGUAGAAUUUGUGUGCCAGUUCCUCUGUGCAGAUUUGAGGAUGAAAGCAGCCACCCCAGAUUCCCUUGCACUUGCUAAGAGGGGCACGGUCAAAGCCAAGCCAGGACCAACACCCGAUACCUGACUGGAAGGAACCGAGAGGAGAGACAACACCUUGCCAGCGAUGACGAGAACAACUAAGGUUGCCAGCCAAUGUGUCCACCGGGACUCCAGCAGCUGUGGAAAGAAGUGUCGGGAGUGCCGAAGCAGCGAGGAGGCCUGAAGCAAGCCGAGGGCCUGGACCAAAGCCCCACGCCCCAUACUCUGCCCCAGCCUUCCCCAAAGCCCCCACAGCUCCAACUCUACCUGAGUUUUCCCCAAUUUCGGCCAGCACGCACAUGCCACUGAACAGUCUGCCCAAUGGACUGAACCACACCCCAAGAAGAGACAGAGACAGACUGUUUGAGUGGAUCUCUUUCUUCACCAAGGCAGCCAAAAGCCCAACGAGGUGUCGGCAGGCCACCAGCCUGAGGCACCACCGAGCCAUCUAUACGAGCACUAAUCGAACAUGGACUCAUACGAAAUUCAGUUGUGUGUUCAAAAUUAAUUGGUAAUUAACAAUAUUGGUAACUACAUCCAUUGCAAAUGCCGGGAAAAAUAUUUUUGCAAAUGUCUUACAGUCAUAAGUCUAUAUACAUUCAUCUAUUUAUGUUCAACGAUGUUCAUGAUAAAAGUAUUUGUUAUUCCUUUACUAAAUCAAAGGGUAGGCCACUAAUUGUGUUCUGUGAGAUGGUUUUACUGCAGGCUGGUAACAGCGAUCGCUCUGAAGGAGGGUCAUAGACGGAAUUUUUGCCUCGUAUAAAAACAUUGAGGUUUUUGCCUCUAUCUGUGGUAGAGAUUUAACUAGUGGUCUACAUCAGAAAUUGUUUUGGUCCAGGGUCUUACCCUGGAAGGAGGGUAUGUCGUAGAAUUUCUGACCUUUUGACCUAUAUUUCUUGUCUUUUAAGAAUGUCCGCUCAUUUUCAAUUCUCUUGUAUUUUGUGCCAUGGGACAAAAGUGAAUAUUAAGUCGUGCCAACCUGUCUACAGAAUGUGUUGACUGUCUAAAGGAUUCGAGUUGUUAUGGAACAGAUAGGAAAAACAACAAGACAUUGACGCAUUUAGAUAACAAACAAUGACGCACAACAGACACGUAAAAAAUGGCAGAAGACCGGAACUCGACAGUGAUUUUGGCUUGUGUGUGUCUUGUUUGCUCCGUAGUGACAUGUGGUCUGUCUGCACGGCCAACUCAAUUCAACCUGCACUUCUGAUAAUGGGUAAAUAAAUUUGUUGUACUAAACUACUUUUGUUGCCUGUUUAAGCUUCGGACAAUCCACUACAAAGGCCUACUGAAAUGAAUUUUUUUUAUUUAAACGGGGAUAGCAGAUCCAUUCUAUGUGUCAGACUUGAUCAUUUCGCGAUAUUGCCAUAUUUUUGCUGAAAGGAUUUAGUAGAGAAUAUCGACGAUAAAGUUCGCAACUUUUGGUCGCUGAUAAAAAAAGCCUUGCCUGUACUGGAAGUAGCGUGACGUCGCAGGUUGAAGGGCUCCUCACAUUUCCCCAUUGUUUACACCAGCAGCGAGAGCGAUUCGGACUGAGAAAGCGACGAUUACCCCAUUAAUUUGAGCGAGGAUGAAAGAUUCGUGGAUGAGGAACGUGAGAGUGAAGGACUAGAGUGCAGUGCAGGACGUAUCUUUUUUUCUCUCUGACCGUAACUUAGGUAAAAGGGCUCAUUGGAUUCCACACUUUCUCCAUUUUCUAUUGUGGAUCACGGAUUUGUAUUUUAAACCACCUCGGAUACUAUAUCCUCUUGAAAAUGAGAGGACAUUCACAGUGACUUUUAUCUCCACGACAAUACAUCGGUGAAGCACUUUAGCUAUGGAGCUAACGUGAUAGCAUCGUGCUUAAAUGCAGAUAGAAACAAAAGAAAUAAGCCCCUGACUGGAAGGAUAGACAGAAUAUCAACAAU